AUGGUAAACUUCCAGAAUUGCGUUGUGGUGAACAUUUUAAAAGGAGAGGUGGACUGGACUAAGCUGAUGGAACUUCUUACUGUAACUUUUUGCAAGACUAGGCAAUGGCCAUGGCAGAUUAGAGGGCUAUCCAGCAAGACCUUCUUGGUCAGAUUUCCCCCUUGGAAGAAAGUAGAGGACCUCAUUGAACUGCCUGGGUUUUCUCUCCCACAGGAUGUGAAUGUCACUUUGACUGAAUCUAAGGGUGGUUGUGACCCUUUUGGGGAGUUGAUUGAAACCUAGGUUCUGAUUGAAGGUAUUCCUCCCAAAUGGUGCACAUGGAAAGUAUUUGCUCAAAUUGCUUCACUCUUUGGGGUGCCUAUAGAUGUAGAUUGGAAUGACAUGUUCAGGACUUUCUUUGAGAAUGUUAGGAUAAAAAUUGCCUAUAGAGAUCCCACUAAGAUACCUUUUGAGAGACUGAUUGAGAUGAAGAAGAAACUCUUCCUGCUAGGUUUUACUAUUGAGAGCUUUGAA
rnacentral:rRNA from 1 species